AUGCUGCAGUUGUGUGUCUAGUUCUUUGACCUGAGGUGCAUCGACAGUUCACCUUGAGUGUGUUAUAGUUUGACUACACCAUAACUCGAUCUCCUAGCCAUUCAAAACCCUGAGGUGUAUGUUGGCUGUAGCAUAUUCAUUAUAGGAACUAGGUCGCACCAAGAUGGGAUCUAUCAACCUCGAUAGAUGAGAAGAGUAGUCCUAUG
rnacentral:lncRNA from 1 species